rnacentral:sRNA from 1 species
UAUUGCAUAAUAUUAUGUUAGAGCAUAAUAAUAAUAAAAAUUUCCGUUAAUUAAAUAUGAUACCGAAUUUUUUUAUUGGGAUAAGUGAGAUUUGCUAUAAUCGGAUGGUCUAGAUUAAAAACACGCGAUUUCGAUUAUCAGGUUAACACAUAUGUUUAGUUGAUUGUAUUCAAGAUUUUAGUGUUGCCCAAUUUUAAAUCAGAUUUCAAACUCUCACCAAGCCCAAUUAUUUAUUUUAUUUUUUAUUUUAUUUUAAUAGAAAUAUAUGCAUGCUCAGACAAAAUAAACAUAAAACAUCCAAAUUUCAAUACAUAAUCCGUUGUAUCAAAAGAUAACUAAAAAUCAGGGCCACUAAACUAUUAAAAUUACCAAAAUAUUCUUAGAUUCAAAUCUCAACUAACAUAACCUAAAUUCUCAACAAGUUCUACAAAUCCUUUAUUAUUCUUCUUCUUUUCUCCUCUUUCAUCUCUUUUUUCUCUUACUUCUCUAACUUUUACUUAGUUUCUAUCUCUUUCUCUUUCUCCUUAUUUUCGUCCACCUCAUCAAGGAUAUCCCAAUACUUCUUUAGUUCUUUAAGACAAUUGGCGGUUCCUUCUUCUCGUCAAUUUUUUUUUUUUUUUUAAAACAACAUUAGCUUAAUUGCAUUAUAGUCGACCACUAUAACACAUUUUACUUCUCCAAUCUGAAAUGAGAAACACGUUUUAUUACGCAAAUCUUCUCUAGAUUCCUUUCUCCAGGAACUUAAUCUGCCACCAAAAUAAAAUAAAUAAAAUCUAAUCUGUAACCAAAAUGAAAUUAUAUAUUGGUUUGAGUUUAAGAGAGAGUUUGAGUUUAGAUUUUAUAAUUAAACGAAGUUAAAUAUUGGUUUGAAUUUAUAUACUGAUCUAAAUUUUAACUAAACGAAGAAAAUGUUGGUUUGAGUUUAGAAAGAACGGUUAGAGUUUAGAUUUACGAUUAAAGGAAGUUAAAUAUUGGUUUGGGUUCACGAAGGAGAAUUAAUGUUUAGAUUUUAUUAUUAAACGAAGUUAAAUAUCGGUUUAAAUUUAUAAACAUGUUUAAAUUUUACAAUUAAACAAAGUUGUAUAUCAGUUUGAGUUUACAAAAACAUUUAAGAUUUAGAUUUUACAAUUAAAUUAUGUUAUCAAGAUUGCGGCCUUUUAGAAUUUCCAUUUUUUGGAGAUUGGUUAUCUUGGAGAGGUUGGCGAGAUAAGAAACCAAUACGAUGUCGGUUAGAUAGGGCCUUAGCAAAUGAAGAAUGGCAUGAUUUAUUCAGUAAUUCUUUCAUUGAAUAUCUAACUAUGUUAGCUUCAGAUCAUUCUCCGGUGAUUGCAACGAUUGCGGAUAAGAUACCACGUGGGAAACAAAAUUUUCGGUUUGAUAAAAGAUGGAUUGGCAAAGAUGGGUUAUUAGAGGCGAUUUCACAAGGUUGGAAUCUAGAUUCUGGGUUUAGAGAGGGACAAUUUGUUGAGAAAUUAACAAAUUGUAGGCGGGCAAUUUCAAAAUGGCGAAAAAGCUUAAUUCCUUUUGGGCGCCAAACAAUUGAGGAUCUAAAGGCCGAAUUAGAUGUGGCUCAAAGGGAUGAUGACAGGUCUCGAGAGGAAAUCACUGAAUUAACAUUACGAUUAAAGGAAGCUUAUCGUGAUGAAGAACAAUAUUGGUAUCAAAAGAGUAGAAGUCUAUGGAUGAAACUAGGGGAUAAUAAUUCAAAGU